AUUGGAACUAUUUUACCAGCGUUUGGUACUGCGAUCAUGCGAUUCGGCAACUAAGAGUGCAAAAGGUGAUACGAUAUUACUCCGCUGAUGUAACGGACGACAAGUGCACAACUGCACACUCUUACUUUUCGGCGGCUUUGUUCUUACUUAGUGAAUUUGCUCGAUUCCGCGAUGUGAUAAUUCAAAUAAAUAUUCCGUAAUAAACUCUUUGUAAAUAUGUACAGUGACAGUGUGGCAUUGUGAAUAUUGUAUUUUGACUUCGUUGUUAAUAUUGUAAUUUUACCUCGUUGUGAAUAUUAUAUUAUUACGAGGAAAAUGGCCUGUGCUGGAAAAGACGUCUCAUCACAACAUUCAAAACCUUUCGCUUAUGUUGAGUAUCAAGUAGACAAAUAUAGAAUGCCGGUGCCUCAAUCUUUCAUAAAGGACUUUGACGCUCAAAACUGGUCGCUUGGGCAAGAAUAUUGGGUCUUCUGGAGUCCAAAAUCGGCUGACACGCCAACAUCGAUCCUCAGAUCUCAAGGGACGCUUUUGAAAUUAGAUGAUGAAAAGGAGACACAUCAAAGAGGACAAUCGUCUGCCUUGCCUGGCUACUACAAGGCCCUCAUAUUGCAAGUAGCUGAUUCAGCUGCUGCAUUAGAAAAGGCCUUGAAAAGCAAACGAAUCUGUAUUCCUACUGACAAAGUCAUUGCUGCAAAGAAUUCCCAGAAAAAUAAAAAGAAUCCACGAAAAAGGGAUCCUUCAUAUGUUUCGAAGUACAAAAUGAGGAAAAUUCGCAAAGCCAGUGAAGGAAUAACCACAGAAAAAUGGCAGAAAUAUAAGGCUCCCGUUGAAGAAUCGGAGGAUGCUGAUGAGCCUGACUCUGAUGCAACUGACUCAGAUGACACUCUCCUGACCAAAAAAGACGUAAGAAUUGACCAGCAAUUGUCAGAACGUAGAAUUUCACACCUGGAAAAUCGAGUGGAGGAAUUAACCAGAAUGAAUUUGUUCUGGCAGAGGAAGUAUGAAAUGGAAGGGACGCCACAGGAAAAGCCGAAACGUCAGACAUCGGAAGCUGAAGAGUCUGUUCGAAGAAACUUGUUUGAUCGGGAAAAGCGUGAAAUCAACGAGAAGUCUGUCAGCUUAAGUGACAAACACAAGCGUGAAGGCAAAGAGAAAUCUGUCGGCUCAAGUGACAAACACAAGCGUGAAGUCAAAGAGAAGUCUGUCAGCUCAAGUGACAAACACAAGCGUGAAGUCAAAGAGAAGUCCGUCAGCUCAAGUGACAAACACAAGCGUGAAGUCAAAGAGAAGUCCGUCAGCUCAAGUGACAAACACAAGCGUGAAGUCAAAGAGAAGUCCGUCAGCUCAAGUGACAAACACAAGCGUGAAGUCAAAGAGAAGUCUAUCAGCUUAAGUGACAAACAUAAUCGCCAGGAGAGGGAUGUAGGCAAAGAUCUGCUAGUUCAAGAUUAUGCAGGCUCUGCGAAUUGUGAGGAUAAGGAGAAUGAUCUCAAUGAAAAACAGAAUCCUGAAGAAAAGAUCAGUGCCAACGAACACGAAGAGAAUGAUGGGAACGGAGAACCUGAUUUUGAAGGAAAUCGUAGCCCCAUCCAGCUGUCUGACAAAGAUAAGGAUACUGAGGAUGAAGAAUGUCAAUCCGAAGAAGAAAUGAGCUUCACAUUGACUCCCCGCAAAGCAGAUGUAGCAUUGGGAGGCGUGAAAAAGGGCAAAUCUGGAGACUCACUCCAUGUAAGGCAAUUGCUGAUGGUCAUUUUUGGUGCCUCCACUCUAAGUCGUUGCAGUUACAAGGGAGUAGCUGCCGUCGGAGGCAAGAAUAAAUACAAAAUGUCACAGCAGAAAGCUGCAAGACCAGCACUUCCUAAAAAGGGAAUGGAAGUAUUAAGAGAUGAAUUUUUGAAAAGGCUGCGGAAAGAAAAUCCUGCUAUUGAUUCAGACGAAGAGGAGGAACGGAUGGAAUGUUUUAAUGAUGUAAUUCCUGACAAGAUCAAAUACCUCCGGAAACGAGCCGGAUUGACGGAUUAAAUUUUGCUUCAUCUAAGUUUUUUUUCUAAUUUCUUUAACUUCUUUCAUUUUUCUUAUUUUUUGAAAUAAUCUCUAAGAAAUCAGCGCAAGAUUUAUCCAUAUAAAUGAGUUUUUAUACUCAUUUCUCUAACUUCUUUCAUUUUUCUAAUGUUUUGAAAUAAUCUUUAAGAAAUUAAGCGCAAGAUCUAUCCACUUAGAUCGAGUUCUUAUACACAUUACUUUUAUUUUUCUUAUUUUUUUAAAUAAUCUUUAAAAAAUCAAGCAUAUGAUCUAUCCAUAUAGAUCGAGUUUUAUACUCAUUUCUCCAACUUCUUUCAUUUUUCUUAUGUUUUGAAUUAAUCUUUAAGAAAUCAAGCGCAAGAUCUAUCCAUAUAGAUCGAGUUUUCAUGCUCAUUACUUUUUUCUCUUAUUUUUUUAAAUAAUCUUUAAGAAAUGAAGCGUAAGAUCUAUCCAUAUAGAUCAAGUUUUCUUAUUCAUUUCUCUAAUUUUUUUCAUUUUUCUUAUUUGUUUAAAUAAUCUUUAAAAAAUCCAACGCAAGAUCUAUCCAUUUGCGUUUUUAUAUUUUUUAACGAUUUUUGAAGUUGACAAUGUCGGGCAUUUGGUGGCCUUUUUGGAGAUUUGUUUUCAACAGAUUUUACAAGUGGUACAUCGUUUCAACAAAUACAGAGAGACUAAUUGAAAUUGAAUAAUUGAUAACACAACAUCAUCAAGGAAAAUCAUUGCUGUAACAGGGACAUAAUUUCAACAGUAGCACUAAUUGAACGUAAUCAAACAAGCCACCGAAUGCCCGAUAUGGUCAAGUUCAAAAAUCAUUUAAAAAUAUAAAAAUGGACUAUUAACUUUGCGAAACCACUUAUCAGCAACUUUUAUCAGCAAAAAUGGUGUCAUUUUCCUCAUUGGGUGCAAGUAAGUUUUUUUUUUUUUGUAAUUACAGCUGUAAAUCUGCUUCAAACAGUGAAAAGAAUUUCUUUUUUUCCCUCAAUUUUCUGUAAGUAAAACUGUAAAAUUUUGUCAAUACGCUUGUCCAUAGCUUCUAUUCCUACUUUGAAAAUAGGAAAAAAAUGUAUUUUUCACUUUUCUUUUUUAAAAAGUUAAAUUGACAAUUUAAUUUUUAAUGUGUGUUAAUUAAAAUAAUAAAAGCUUGCUUCAUUCUAAUGCAAAUUGAAUCUUAAACUUUUAUUCAUCUUUAAAGUAAAUUAAGCUUAAGAUACUUUAAUGUUACAGCACAUAGCUUCGAGUCCAAAAACUUAACUGAGGUUGCACAAAAACUGAACCGUCACACAAGGAGACAUUUUCCUGACUUGGAAUUAAUAUUUCUGCUGGUCGUGAGUCUGCAAUCUAUUACAUUACCUAUUGCAAUUGCCCUUAUUAGGGACUGUUUUUAAUAAGCACUUGCUUAAAGUAGAGUCUAAAGUAAAAUGAUGAAUCAUGUGAGAACGAUGACUUUUGCUCCAGUUUUUGUGCGCCUCAGAAGAAAUUUAUUUUCUGUGCGCCUCGAAAGUAAUUUACAUUUCCACAGGAAUCAUUUCUGUAUUCUACAAAUAAAUUCUGUGAAAUGAUAACCAUGCGAUUCCCGGGCUUUCAUGGGCUUCACCUCAUCACAAUGGCCAUGGGAUUCACCUCAUUAGGCCAUGGGAUUCACCUCAUUACCAUGGCCAUGGGUUUCACCUCAUUACCAUGGCCAUGGAAAUCACCUGAUUUCCGUCCAAUUUUCCCAUGACCAUGGAAAUCAAGACGUUUCCAUGAAAAAAGGCAAGGGACUUUUUUGGCAGUGCGCGCCUUCAAGUUUGGUGAUACUCUACGCAUUGUCUUGGAGUUAAUUUAGUUGCUUGACCUACACGGAAAAAACGAGUUUAGGGUUGGGACCUACACGUUAGUGCUGGACACUAACGAGGGUUAGGUCAAAUGGAGCCAGCAAGUCACAGUAGUGCUGGACACUAAACAGUUCGAGGCUGGGUCACUAAGGAAAAAGUAGUGUCCAACCCUACAGUGAUUUCGGCGAGCGUAAAAUAUGGAUCGCCUCCGCCGGGAUUUGAACCUGGGUUGCGCUGGUAGUAAUCCAGCGCGUUACCUCCAGGCUAUAGCAGCUUAGACAUCAGGCUGGCGAAUUUACACCUGUUAAGCGCAACUGCGUCUCGCGGCAUAUGAUUGGCACUACUGGUGUUCAGUGCCGACCUCUACUGCCUUCCUGGGUUGAGCUGUACAGCGCUUAGACGCCAGCCCUCAACUGCUAACCACUAAACGGCCAGUAGUGCUCAACACUAAUCUUGUUUUUUCCGUGUAAUCGAAUCUGCUAAUAC
rnacentral:lncRNA from 1 species